rnacentral:rRNA from 1 species
CCUACGGGGAGCAGCAGUGGGGAAUAUUGCACAAUGGGCGAAAGCCUGACGCAGCGACGCCGCGUGAGGGAUGAAGGUCUUCGGAUCGUAAACCUCUGUCAGCAGGGAAGAACGGUCACUGUGCUAAUCAGCAGUGAAUUGACGGUACCUGCAAAGGAAGCACCGGCUAACUCCGUGCCAGCAGCCGCGGUAAUACGGAGGGUGCGAGCGUUAAUCGGAAUUACUGGGCGUAAAGCGCUCGUAGGCGGGAUGUCAAGUCAAGGGGGAAAUCCCCGCGCUCAACGUGGGAACUGCCUUUGAAACUGGCAAACUGGAGUGUGUGAGAGGAUAGUGGAAUUCCAGGUGUAGGAGUGAAAUCCGUAGAUAUCUGGAGGAACAUCAGUGGCGAAGGCGACUAUCUGGCACAUAACUGACGCUGAGGAGCGAAAGCGUGGGUAGCAAACAGGAUUAGAUACCCUUGUAGUC